UCCAUGUAAAACAGUUGAGGGGAUUUUAUUUUUCUUUUCUUUUCUCCCAUACCCGUUCCUUAUGAGAAAGAAACUGAGGUGACAUGACUGAGAUUUUGCAUGAGGGAGCUUUGGGGAAUUAUGAUUGAGAUUCAGAUGUUAAUGGGGCUGGUUGGUUUCAUAGACGAGAUGGAGAAAUUCUCUUUAACCUUCUUCAAUUGGAAGCCGUAUGAAGAAAUUGCUUCUUCUUACUCAACUGCUCAAGAUGACUCUCAUCAAUUGAUGGGUUUGUAUAUCAAGCUGAAUGCAUAUUUGAUAAGCUACCUUGCUAGAACUUCUAAUUUGAAUCGAAAUUGUUGUACAUGGAGAAAUUAGUUCAUAAUAAUUUUGGGGUUUUCUUAGCAUUUAAUAUUUAAACUUCAAUCGAGAUUAUAAUAAAGUAUGGGGUGGUGGUGACUUAUGUCAAUUGCAUAAUAUCAAUUCUACUAUGGGUUCUAAUUUGGGAACUAGGAUUCCCCAUGCUAAGGUUUGGGGCUUUUUCCCCAAAUUUGUUUCUUACUAUCAAAUUUAUGGUUAAUGCAUGUAUGGGCAUCUCUUGAUAUAUAGGUCUCUUGAUGUGUUAUUUUGCUAUAUUUGUUCAUGGAGUUUUGGUUCCCAGAUAAUAACCAUUUGCAUGAAUUCGUAUUUGCGGGAUGAAGGAGCCUUGCCCCAACAACAGAGAUAUUUCUCUCUGGGUCUCAACUCUGCACUCCAGUUGUUCGUAAAAAGUUCACAACCAGUGCUGCAAGUACGUAUCUUAGAGAUAUGUACAUUGAUGGCGGUUAGACUCGGCAUGGGAGAUCCGUGGGUAACACUUUCUCACAGUAAGUUUUCUUAGAUUUCAUUUUUGUUGAUAUAUUUGCUAGAAAUAAAAGAGAUCGAAAAAGGUUACAUUUUGUCCAAUAAUAUUUAGUUGGUUGUGUUUGAGAUGAAAUUCUAUCUUUUAUCGCCUAGCUGUUGGUGGCUUCAACACUCAAGGAGUCCACUUUAGUCACGAGUUUGCUGUUUCCACUUGAUACUCUUACCUUAUUAUCAAAUGCAAUAGCCUUGAAAGUGAUAACGGAAACUAGUUAGUAUUCCUGGUGUGUUCAUUGAUGUUUCACUUUGUCGUUUUAGAUCAGGAAGCGGAACUUUCCGUCUUUCCAUCUUCAUAAAAUGGGCUGGUCUACAAUAGUAUAUUCUAUAUGUAAUUGAAAUAUCAUCUCACCUUGCUCGCUUCAUUUCUAGUUAUGCAAUUCUACUAUGUUAUUGUCUGGUGCACAUAAAUGUAAUUCGGGUAGGAUUGGGUAUCUAUUAUGAAUUGAAAUGUUAUGUGAAAUGAAUUGGUGCUUAGCAUUUUGGAACAUUUGCUACCUUGUUGUACAUAAAUGAGUUAGAAAUAAUUGUUGUUGCCAACGUGUAUGCUUUCUUCCCCUUAUGAUCUGUUGAUUAGUUUAAUUUAAAUGGAGUGUGAAUAAUGAUAUGUUGCUGGUUUUCACAUAUUACAUUUAUUUCGUAUAGGGUGUUCAUAGAGGUUGGACAUCGGUUAAACCUACAGCUAGGAUUAGAUACAGAGGGUGUAUUAGUGGGACAACUGAAAUGAUUAUGUACAGGAAUGGUACUUUCUAGGCUAGUUAAAGAUGUAUAUUCACUUGUGUUAGCCUACUAUAUGGAAUUUAGUUUAUUCACAUAGCCUUACUUUGGUUUGUAUGUUGUGGUGAUUGGUGUUGGUUGGCUAAACGUAUUUCUACAUCUCUGGGGAAAUUGCUUGGUAAUUUAUGUGGUUCUAUAAUUAGUUAAUUAUUGUGAGCAUUUCUGCGUCGGCAUUGGGCGUACUAAGCUUUGACUUAUUAAUGAAUUUGUUUCUUUGAUCGAUGGAUAUUUGAAUUAGAGAUAUAAGGUCAUCGGAAAUGUUAGUCUGACAUUAUUAACGAAAUGGAUAAUUGCUUUCUACUACUGAUUUUAAGGGCUUGUGGUCAUGGCAUAAAAUUUCAUCUAUUUUCUCUUUGCACCAUUCUUGCAAGUCUGGUUCUCAAAUGGUUUUCGUUGCUUUAUACGAUUCAUAAUGUGAGUGGUCACUAUACACUAGAUGCUUCUAUAUUUGUUCCUUUUGGAUUAUGUCGUUGCUGUCUUAAACUUGGCUGAAAGUUAUGGGUGCUGUAAAUGUUUUAAGCAUGUAUUCUUUUGUUAAAUUAGUCAUGACCUAAGUGAUUUUUGAGAAGUACCUUAAAUGAUUUAUUUUUCACACUGUGCUUAAAGUUGCAUUAGUGCAAAUGCUGAUGGUGAUGGAACUGGUGGAGUUAGCCAUGAUUACCGUAAACCAAGGUAAAUAAUUAAUUGCUCUCUAUAGACACUCAUAUCUCUUGAACAUGUUUUUGGCAUAGUACAAUAGAUAGAUUAAAGAUAAGUAGUUCAUUUUUUUUUUUGAUAUACUAGAUAUUAUGGGUUCACUGAAAUUUUGGCAUCUUUUAGUACAAUAAUGACAAAAGAUUUAAAAUGUGGAAAUUUAGCUUGUUCCAGUAGUGGCAAUUCUAAUUAGACGUAUAGUUGUUACAAAGAGAACCGGACCGUACCGGAGUAUGUGCAGCCCUAGUCGUGCUUGAUUCCUUCGAGCAACGGAGAGGGUACGUAGGCAGUCGUUAUGCAGUUCAACACAACUCUACCAGGGUGUUCAUAUCAUCAGAAAGUCUUGGUUACUGCUUUGCACUUCAUACCAUCUAUUCGGAGAUGAUUGCAACCUUGUCACCGGCAACUGGCCAUGGAAAUCUUAGUGGUGGCAACUGGCCAUGAGAGUUAUUAGUGGUGGCAACUGGCCAUGGAAAUCUUGGUAGUGGCAGCUGGCCAUGGAAAUCUUGGUAGUGGCAGCUGGCCACGAGAGUUAUUAGUGGUAGUAACUAGCCAUGGAAAUCUUGGUAGUGGCAGCUGGCCAUGGAAAUCUUAGUAGUGGCAACUGGCCAUGAGAGUUAUUAGUGGUGGCAACUGGCCAUAAAAAUCUUAGAAUUGGAAAUUGGCCAUAAAAGUCUAUUAUUUUUGGCAACGGGCCAUCUCUCAUUUUGACAACUGGUCGUCUCUCAUAAUCGGAGAACAAAUACCAAGUGUGCUUGCUUAUAAUGCAGUUUGGGUGAUUCAAAUUCGAGUUGCUCAUAAGAAUUUGAAGGUUCGGUUACUUGAGUGGCGUAUCGCAGAGUCGGAGUUUUCUAAGCGGGUCGAAACCCGGUUCACUGGAAGUCCAGAUUCUCUGAUCUGUCACAGUUGGUAUCAAAGCAGUUCCGGUUCAAACGGGACUGUGCAUUUGGAACUCACCAAACUUCUACUCGCGAGGUGACCACAGGUAUUUUUCUUUACUUCUAGUUUUAUUUUGAACUUCGGGACAAAGUUAUUUUGAAGGAGUUAAUGGUGUGACACUCUGAACCAUUUUCUCGGGUUAAAUUCAGCCCAUGUGAGUUUAAAAGCCUAAAAAUUUUAUUUGGUAGUGAAAAAAAAAAAGAUAGGGUGCUUUCAUUAGUAUGAGUGCCUAAAUCCAAAAUUAUGGCUCUUGGAGGGGCAGCUAAUUGCUUUAAUCACAAACUUGGGUGCCUAAAUUACUGUCCAUGCAGCCAGGCACGUGUCGUAUUUUUGGUUAACAUAAAAACUGAGAAACCGAGAGUAGGGGGAUCUUCUUCUCCUUUCUUUCCUUUCCUUCAUUUUUUUUAUCUCUGGUGAUUUCUCAUUCCAUGUAAAACAGUUGAGGGGAUUUUAUUUUUCUUUUCUUUUCUCCCAUACUCGUUCCUUGUGAGGGAAAGAAACUGAGGUGACAUGACUGAGAUUUUGCAUGAGGGAGCUUUGGAGAAUUAUGAUUGAGAUUCAGAUGUUAAUGGGGCUGGUUGGUUUUUCACACUGUGCUUAAAGUUGCAUUAGUGCAAAUGCUUAAAGUUGCAUUAGUGCAAAUGCUGAUGGUGAUGGAACUGGUGGAGUUAGCCAUGAUUACUAUAAACCAAGUAAAUAAGAGGGCAAGACAAAUAACUACUUUUGUGGUGCAUGAUGUGACGAAGUACGGCCGUGCUUGAUCCCUUCGAGCAACGGAGAGGGUACGUAGGCAGCCGCUAUGCGGUUCAUCACAAUUCUACCAGGAUGUUCAUAUCAUCAGAAAGUCUUGGUUACUGCUUUGCAGUUCAUACCAUAUAUUCAGAGAUGAUUGCAACCUUGUCACCGGCAACUGGCCAUGGAAAUCUUAGUGGUGGCAACUGGCCAUGAGAGCUAUUGGUGGUGGCAACUGGCCAUGAAAGCUAUUGGUGGUGGCAGCUGGCCAUGGAAAUCUUAGCAGUGUCAACUGGCCAUGAGAGUUAUUAGUGGUGGCAACUGGCCAUGGAAAUCUUGGUAGCGGCAACUGGCCAUGAGAGUUAUUAGUAGUGGCAACUGGCCAUGGAAAUCUUAAAAUUUGCAACUGGCCAUAAAUGUAUAUUAUUUUUGGAAACUGGCCAUCUCUCAUUUUGACAACUGGUCAUCUCUCAUAAUUGGAGAAUAAAUAUUAAGUGUGCUUGCUUAUAAUGCAGUUUGGGUGAUUCAAACUCGAGUUGCUCAGAAGAAUUUGAAGGUUCGGUUACUUGAGUGGCAUAUCGGAGGGUCGGAGUUUGCUAAAUGGGUCGAAACCUGGUUCGUUGGAAGUCCAGAUUCUCUGAUCCGUCACAUUAUAGGUUGGAUAAAUAUGUCUCCCACAGAUAAACCCAGAGAUUUUGUUUUGUAUUUUGAUAAAUCAAGGUGAAUAAGAACCAAUUGA